rnacentral:pre_miRNA from 1 species
AUCUUUCCUAUCACAUUAUCCAUGGUCUCUUUCCAAGUAUUUAAUGACAUAUCUGAAUUUUUUUCCAUGCCAUUAACACAUAAUUUUGGUAAGUUGUUCCUUCAGCCCUAAAUCUAGAACCUUGAACCCCAAAUCUGAACACCGAAUCCAAACCUUGAACCUCGAAUUUUAAACCCUAAACUCAAACCCAAACCCUAAAUCCUAAAACUUAAGUUCAAGGUUUAGGGUUCAAAUUUGGGGCUCAAGGUUUAGGUUCGAGGUUGAAGGUUUGGGCUUAGGGUUUAAGGUUUAGGGUUUUGGGUUCAAGGUUUAAGAUUCAAGAUUUAAGAUUCAGAGUUGGGGGUUCUAGGUUUAAGGUUCAAGGUAAAAGAAAAUUAUAAAAAUUAUGUGUCAAUGACAUAAAAAAAUUGUUAAAAUGUCAUUAAAUAAUUAGAAAUGGACCAUGGAUGAUGUGGGGGUAAGA